AUUAUGAUCUUUUUUUUUUUUACCGUGAGUGAGUGUGUGACUUCUCCAGGGUUUGUACACGAUUCCUCCUUGAGAGACCGCUACGUUGCCAUCGUCUUCAACCUCAUAACCUUUAAAAGUUUUGGGGCAACAUUCCUGCCUCAUUCCUGACAAAUUUCCGGAGCAGAAAAACUUGACAGUGGUGUCUAGGAAUGCAGCUUACAGCAAUAGCGUAGCUCGCACAGAGAACGAGGAGUGCGAUGCUGGCGAUGAAGAGGAUGACUAUGGAGAGAAACGCAGCCGCUGGUUGCUCUGUG